rnacentral:rRNA from 1 species
GUGACCAUGUUCAACGGCCGCGGUAUCCUAACCGUGCGAAGGUAGCGUAAUCACUUGUUCUUUAAAUGUGGACUAGUAUGAACGGCAUCACGAAGGUUAUACUGUCUCCUUUUUCUAAUCAGUGAAACUAAUCUCCCCGUGAAGAAGCGCGGAUAAAAUUAUAAGACGAGAAGACCCUAUGGAGCUUUAAACAACACAGCACUUACCUGAGAACCUUAAAUGUUUCUGUAACACUAACUCUUAGAGUAAGAUGACUGCAAGUUUUUGGUUGGGGUGACCACGGAGUAUAUCAUAACCUCCAUGUUGAAAGAAUUUUUCUAAGCCAAGAACAACCUAUCUAAGCAUUAAUAAAUUAACAUCUAUUGACCCA